rnacentral:lncRNA from 10 species
CAGCUUCAGGCCCAGCGGGGUCACAUCCGUCACACAGGCAGUGGCCGCGACUUCCCUGCAGGGGCAUGAGAUCAUCAGCCUCUUGUCCACUUGCCCACCGGCAGCCCACAGCAGUUGCCACCGAGAGCAGGAGGGAACCCAGCAAAAGCACAUAGACAAGCGACAGCAGGGGCUAGACCCAGCUCUGAACAGCAGAACGUCCCAGCGCAGCCCUGCAACCCACUGCGGGCAGGCAGGCGGGCAGCCCUGGGCCACAGGCCCCACACUCACCUAGAGACUCUGCAGCCCCAGCCGUCAGGCUGAAAUCAAAGUGACAGGCGUCUCACUGGUGGGCUUGCCUUGGGCCAGUACCCCACAAGACCCUGCUGCUGCUACCCCUUUGGACUCAAGGAUGGGCCAGGCCCUCCCAUGAUCUGGGCUAAACAGGGGCUGGAGCCCUGGGUCCCGGUCCUGUGGCGGGGCUCACUCCUCACCUAGGAGACCUUCCAUUUCCCACCUGCAGAACGGACACAGCAC